rnacentral:sRNA from 2 species
CGUGGUCCACCUGUUGCGGGCAGAUGAAGUGGAUAUGGCAGUCCAUGCCGCCGGGGGUGAGGAUGCGGCCCUCGCCCGCGAUGAUCUCGGUCCCCGGCCCGAUGAUCAGGGUCACGCCGGGCUGGGUGUCGGGAUUGCCGGCCUUGCCGAUCCCGGCGAUGCGCCCGUCCCGCAGCCCGACAUCGGCCUUGGUGAUGCCUUGGUGGUCGAAGACCACGGCGCCGGUGAUGACCGUAUCCAUCGCCCCGGCCUCGCGCGUCACUUGCGACUGGCCCAUGCCGUCGCGGACG